rnacentral:rRNA from 1 species
UGGGGAAUCUUCCGCAAUGGACGAAAGUCUGACGGAGCAACGCCGCGUGAGUGAAGAAGGUUUUCGGAUCGUAAAACUCUGUCUUUUGGGGCGAACGUGAGUAUGGUGAACAAUCAUAGUCAGUGACGGUACCAAAGGAGGAAGCCACGGCUAACUACGUGCCAGCAGCCGCGGUAAUACGUAGGUGGCAAGCGUUGUCCGGAAUUAUUGGGCGUAAAGAGCGCGUAGGCGGGAUAGUCAGUCUGUUGUAAAGUGCGGGGCUCAACCCCGUGAUGGCAAUGGAAACAGCUAUUCUUGAGUGCAGGAGAGGAAAGUGGAAUUCCCAGUGUAGCGGUGAAAUGCGUAGAUAUUGGGAGGAACACCAGUGGCGAAGGCGACUUUCUGGACUGUGUCUGACGCUGAGGCGCGAAAGCCAGGGGAGCGAACGGGAUUAGAUACCCCGGUAGUCCUGGCCGUAAACGAUGGGUACUAGGUGUGGGAGGUAUCGACCCCUU